AACGAACGCUGGCGGCAUGCCUAACACAUGCAAGUCGAACGAGACGUUCGGGUCUAUUGUCGCACGGCUUCGUAACGCGUGGGAACCUUCCCUUAUGUUCGGAAUAACUCCCCGAAUGGGGUGCUAAUACCGGAUAAUGUCUUCGGACCAAAGAUUUAUCGCGUUUGGAUGGGCCCGCGUUGGAUUAGGUAGUUGGUAGGGUAAAAGCCUACCAAGGCGACGAUCCAUAACUGGUUUGAGAGGAUGAUCAGCCACACUGGGACUGAGACACGGCCCAGACUCCUACGGGAGGCAGCAGUGGGGAAUAUUGGACAAUGGGCGAAAGCAUGAUCCAGCAAUGACGCGUGAGUGAUGAAGGCAUUAGGGUUGUAAAGCUCUUUUACCCGGGAUGAUAAUGACAGUACCGGGAGAAUAAGCUCCGGCUAACUACGUG
rnacentral:rRNA from 1 species